CCUGGCUCAGAUUGAACGCUAGCGGGAUGCUUUACACAUGCAAGUCGGACGGCAGCACGAAGAGCUUGCUCUUUGGUGGCGAGUGGCGAACGGGUGAGUAAUGUAUCGGAACGUGCCCAGUAGCGGGGGAUAACUACGCGAAAGCGUGGCUAAUACCGCAUACGCCCUACGGGGGAAAGGGGGGGAUCGCAAGACCUCUCACUAUUGGAGCGGCCGAUAUCGGAUUAGCUGGUUGGUGGGGUAAAGGCCUACCAAGGCGACGAUCCGUAGCUGGUUUGAGAGGACGACCAGCCACACUGGGACUGAGACACGGCCCAGACUCCUACGGGAGGCAGCAGUGGGGAAUUUUGGACAAUGGGGGCAACCCUGAUCCAGCCAUCCCGCGUGUGCGAUGAAGGCCUUCGGGUUGUAAAGCACUUUUGGCAGGGAAGAAACAGCCUGGGAUAA
rnacentral:rRNA from 1 species